rnacentral:rRNA from 1 species
GUCGAGCGGUACAGAGAGUAGCUUGCUACUUUGCUGACGAGCGGCGGACGGGUGAGUAAUGCUUGGGAACAUGCCUUGAGGUGGGGGACAACAGUUGGAAACGACUGCUAAUACCGCAUAAUGUCUACGGACCAAAGGGGGCUUCGGCUCUCGCCUUUAGAUUGGCCCAAGUGGGAUUAGCUAGUUGGUGAGGUAAUGGCUCACCAAGGCGACGAUCCCUAGCUGGUUUGAGAGGAUGAUCAGCCACACUGGGACUGAGACACGGCCCAGACUCCUACGGGAGGCAGCAGUGGGGAAUAUUGGACAAUGGGCGCAAGCCUGAUCCAGCCAUGCCGCGUGUGUGAAGAAGGCCUUAGGGUUGUAAAGCACUUUCAGGGGUGAGGAAGGGUAAUGGAUUAAUACUUCAUUACUUUGACGUUAGCCCCAGAAGAAGCACCGGCUAACUCUGUGCCAGCAGCCGCGGUAAUACAGAGGGUGCAAGCGUUAAUCGGAAUUACUGGGCGUAAAGCGCACGCAGGCGGUUUGUUAAGCGAGAUGUGAAAGCCCCGGGCUCAACCUGGGAACUGCAUUUCGAACUGGCAAACUAGAGUGUGAUAGAGGGUGGUAGAAUUUCAGGUGUAGCGGUGAAAUGCGUAGAGAUCUGAAGGAAUACCGAUGGCGAAGGCAGCCACCUGGGUCAACACUGACGCUCAUGUACGAAAGCGUGGGGAGCAAACGGGAUUAGAUACCCCGGUAGUCCACGCCGUAAACGAUGUCUACUAGAAGCUCGGAGCCUCGGUUCUGUUUUUCAAAGCUAACGCAUUAAGUAGACCGCCUGGGGAGUACGGCCGCAAGGUUAAAACUCAAAUGAAUUGACGGGGGCCCGCACAANNNNNNNAGCAUGCGGUUUAAUUCGAUGCAACGCGAAGAACCUUACCUACACUUGANNNNNAGANNNCUUACCAGAGAUGGUUUGGUGCCUUNNGGAACUNNNNNNNNNNUGCUGCAUGGCUGU